GACGAACGCUGGCGGCGUGCCUAAUACAUGCAAGUAGGACGCAGUUGCGAACGGGUGAGUAACGCGUAGGUAACUACCUAUGCGUGGGGGAUAACUAUUGGAAACGAUAGCUCAUACCGCCUACUAGUAGAUGGACCUGCGUUGUAUUAGCUAGUUGGUAGGGUAAUGGCCUACCUAGGCAACGAUACAUAGCCUACCCGGAGAGGUGAUUGGCCACCCUGGGACGUGGAAAAGGCCCCGACUCCGACCGGGGGCAGCAGUAGGGAAAUUUCGGCAAUUGGGGGAACCCUGACCGAGCACCGGCGGCUGAUUGAAGGAGGGUUUUGGAUCUUAAAGCUCUGUUGUGAAGGAAGCGUUACUUAACCAGAAAGGGACGGCUAACUACGUGCCAGCAGCCGCGGUAAUUC
rnacentral:rRNA from 1 species